GGGUCCUAAGCUUCUCUCUUCUCGUUUCGUCUAUUUAAAAAAAGGCAUUUGAUACAGUUUGGCAUAUGGGUCUCUUCUGUAAACUAAGACAAUAUGGCAUAAGUGAUUCAUAUUACAAUGCAAUUAAAAGUAUGUAUAAAAGACUGGGUUGAAUGUGUGGAUUGGCAAAUCUCACAUGACAGGCUCCUUCUCAUUUAAUAUAG
rnacentral:lncRNA from 1 species